rnacentral:rRNA from 1 species
AUUGAACGCUGGCGGCAUGCUUUACACAUGCAAGUCGAACGGUAACAGGGUGCUUGCACCGCUGACGAGUGGCGAACGGGUGAGUAAUGCGUCGGAACGUGCCGGGUAGUGGGGGAUAACGCAGCGAAAGUUGUGCUAAUACCGCAUACGUACUGAGGUAGAAAGUGGGGGACCUUCGGGCCUCACGCUAUUCGAGCGGCCGACGUCUGAUUAGCUAGUAGGUGAGGUAAAGGCUCACCUAGGCGACGAUCAGUAGCGGGUCUGAGAGGAUGCUCCGCCACACUGGGACUGAGACACGGCCCAGACUCCUACGGGAGGCAGCAGUGGGGAAUUUUGGACAAUGGGCGAAAGCCUGAUCCAGCCAUGCCGCGUGUCUGAAGAAGGCCUUCGGGUUGUAAACUGCUUUUGUACGGAGCGAAAAGGCUCUCUCUAAUACAGGGGGCUGAUGACGGUACCGUAAGAAUAAGCACCGGCUAACUACGUGCCAGCAGCCGCCGUAA